GUUCACCUUCGUUAACAUAGAAUGCAUAGCGUUCUUCUAAAAAAAUAACGCUUUCGGGAUGAAGCCCAUCUUGCUCAGCGAAGAAGAUGAAUGCGAAGAUGAUGACAAUGGAGAUUCAUAUUCAAUAUUUCAAGUAUCGGAUUGGGGAUUCACCAGAAAACUUGUCUCCUUGGUGCUAUAUAUUUUCGAAGGUUUGUUGACGGACAAUCUUUUUUAAGUUGAGCUGAUUCUUUGAGUUAUAAUUUCACACUCUUUUCUAAUAAACUGUCUUGAGUGAUAAUUUGAAUUGAUUUGGUUCUCUUGUCUCGUUAUAUACUUGAUUAUUUCUGUGUUUAUCAUACUUGGUUUUGCUUUCAUGGUUGCCAUUCUUCAGAAAUAUUAAGUUCAAAUUGAAAUACUAUAAGUAGAUUCAGUUAUCACACACACAUGAAGAUGAGGGCCCAUGAGUCGUAGCUCAAGGGAAAGGAUGGGAUGAGGUGAAAUGUAGAUUCUAGGUUCAAUUCUCCGUGUAAUUGAAUUAUAAAAGUUUGAGCAUAAGGUCAUAUGUUCGAUUGUCCCCUUUUCACCCCACUAUUGCUUGUAUCAAAAAAAGAAAAAAAAGAAAAUACCAUUGAUGCACACGAACAACAUUGGCAUAUGGGUUCUUUGAGUGGUUGGGCCUAUCUGCAAUCCAUUACUGAAGAGAAAUAGAGGCAUGGAGAGAGAGCCAUCAGUCCUUGAAGCUUGAUUGGAAGCUUGGUUGGGUAAGCGCGUCAAAAUUUUAUAUCCUCUCUUUAAUCUUUUGUGCUUUUGUUUUUCUGGAUCGACCUUAACUUCCUAUGCUCAUUUUUGUUCUUAAAAUUUAACAGGUUUAGGCAUUUAACCGCAAAAUAAAUAUUAUUUUUCAUGACGAAUUUAGAGGAUGGCAAGGCCAGAAGGAAAUCAAGACAAACUUGAUGAAGGGUCAAUGAGCAGUAGUGUGCACCCUUAAACUUGAUGAGGUUUACUACUAGAAAACCUCUUAAAGUUUAUUCCCAUUAGACACACGUCUAUUCUAUUUCUAGACCAUUUUGGAGUCCUAGUUGAUCUUAGCGACAUGUAUAUUUGUGAUUUGCUUUUAGUGAAAAGAAUACGCUUGAUUUGCUCUCCGUGGACGUAGGGGUUGCCGAACCACGUUAAAGUCUCGUCUCGUUUUUAUAUUGAUUUUUUUUUUCUUUUACUAUCAUUAAUAUACUAAUUGUAUGUGUAAGUAAACAUAAACAAAUUUUUUUAUUUUUUUUUAUUUUGGAAUUAAAAUAUUAUUCUAGCACUACCACAUUGACACAUGCAACAAUUGAGGGCAUAUGAUAUUGAUUCAAGAACUUAUAGGCAUCUUUCUUGGAACAAGUCUAUAAUUAUUAAUUUUUUUUUUUCUCUUACAGUUGUAAUUUAACUUUAGCUUCAUUUCAAAUGAAAUGAGUUGAAACACAG
rnacentral:lncRNA from 1 species